rnacentral:rRNA from 1 species
UACGUAGGGUGCAAGCGUUGUCCGGAAUUAUUGGGCGUAAAGAGCUCGUAGGCGGUCUGUCGCGUCGGAUGUGAAAACUCGGGGCUUAACCCCGAGCCUGCAGUGGAUACGGGCAGACUAGAGGUAGGUAGGGGAGAAUGGAAUUCCCGGUGUAGCGGUGAAAUGCGCAGAUAUCGGGAGGAACACCGGUGGCGAAGGCGGUUCUCUGGGCCUUACCUGACGCUGAGGAGCGAAAGCGUGGGGAGCGAACAGG